GACGCACGCUGGCGGCGUGCUUAACACAUGCAAGUCGAACGGAGUGGCGAACGGGUGAGUAACACGUGGGUGAUCUGCCUUGCACUCUGGGAUAAGCUUGGGAAAAUGGGUCUAAUACCGGAUAGUGCAAGAUGAGCUCGCGGCCUAUCAGCUUGUUGGUGGGGUAAUGGCCUACCAAGGCGUCGACGGGUAGCCGGCCUGAGAGGGUGUACGGGCACAUGGGGACUGAGAUGCGGCCAAGACUCCUACGGGCGGCAGCAGUGAGGAAUUUUGCACAAUGGGCGUAGUCGUGAUGCAGCUCCGCCGCGUGGGGGAUGACGGCCUUCGGGUUGUAAACUCCUUUCGACAGGGACGCGGUACCUGUAUAAGAAGCACCGGCUAACUACGUGCCAGCAGCCGCGGUAAUUC
rnacentral:rRNA from 1 species